rnacentral:rRNA from 1 species
UACGUAGGUGGCGAGCGUUAUCCGGAAUUACUGGGCGUAAAGCGCAAGCAGGCGGCUUAUUAAGUUUGACGUGAAAUCUCCCGGCUUAACCGGGAGGAGCCGUUGAAAACUGAUACGCUUGAGGCGAUGAGAGGGGUGUGGAAUUCCCGGUGUAGUGGUGGAAUGCGUAGAUAUCGGGAGGAACACCAGAGGCGAAAGCGACACCCUGGCAUUUGCCUGACGCUGAGAUGCGAAAGCGUGGGGAGCAAAC